GACGAACGCUGGCGGCGUGCUUAACACAUGCAAGUCGAACGGAAAGGCCCCUUUGGGGGUACUCGAGUGGCGAACGGGUGAGUAACACGUGAGUAACCUGCCCUUGACUUCGGGAUAACUUCAGGAAACUGGGGCUAAUACCGGAUAGGAAUCCUUGCUGCAUGGGGGGGGGUGGAAAGCUUGGGCGGUUUUGGAGGGACUCGCGGCUUUUCAGCUUGUUGGUGGGGUAGUGGCUUACCCAGGCUUUGACGGGUAGCCGGCCGGAGAGGGCGACCGGCCCCAUUGGGACUGAGAUACGGCCCAGACUCCUACGGGAGGCAGCAGUGGGGAAUAUUGCACCAUGGGCGGAAGCCUGAUGCAGCAACGCCGCGGGCGGGAUGACGGCCUUCGGGUUGUAAACCGCUUUCAGCAGGGGCGAAGCUUGUGGUGACGGUACCUGCAGAAGAAGCACCGGCUAACUACGUG
rnacentral:rRNA from 1 species